AAAAAUGAUGAAGAGAGGAAAUUUGAAAAGGUUUCCUUGUUCAGUUUAUGAGCUGUUAAUGGUGUUUUCUGGUGUUCAGUUGAGAGAUGCCCUCUGAGAUGGAUAAUCAACUGCUGAGCCUUUUCUUAUACCAUCGACUCUUUGGACGUGGAGAAUGGAGAUGCUGUCAGUACACUGUCGAGUAGCUUGGCUGGUGAUAAUGGGAUCAUGGCAUGUAACUUAUAUUUGCAAGACUAAUUGCCAUUGGUCAUGAGAUCUGCUGUUCAUUUUCUCCAAAAUGUCGUCUCUUGGUUCAUGUUGCACGUUUCGUCACAUUCAGUACUUAAGAUUAAUGGUGGAGUCUGAAAGCUUCUUUAUUGCUUUACGUGUACGUGGUCAUUGCCGCUUAAUGAAGGUUCUCUAAGAGGGUCUCUACUACAUUGAAAGACAAUAUAGUGAUGGAAAUAGGAAAUCUAAUUGAAAUAGUAAUAAUGUUCCCAUGGUCAGUUAGAUGUUUGAGCUGGUUCGUUCACUUCGUUGUGGCUGUUUGGUGUGCAGUGAUCUUCCAGGAGAAAUGCGUUAAAAAGGAACAAAGUGCCGCAACAAUUUGGCAACAUGGCAAUCUUAUGCCACUGAGCCUAACGCCGUCUGCUAUGGAAACUGUCAGUUACGUUGUUCGUGAUUAAUGCGGUCAGAUUCAACAUUCUUCUUCACAAAUGUCUCAAAGGUUUAGAAGAAUAAAGAUAGAAUUCAUUUGUCAAUCUGUCAUGCCUGUGAUACAUAUCUGUCCAGGUCACAGAGUCUUAUCCCAGAUUAAUGGUUUGGCGAGGCUGAGCCUUUUCAUGGUGGUCAACAGUCCACGUGGACUUGUUGCAGACAACUGGUUAAGGGUGUGGGUAAGUGCUUCAUGCUGUCUGUGGUGUUGGUCUGAAAUAUUUUCAUUGCUUCAACUAGUUAGUGUUUGAAUCAUUCAUUUCAUAUUUGUUGUCUGAUGUUAAACUUGAAAUUUUUGUUUUAAUUUGUAAAUUUUUCAUUGGAAUCUUGUUUCCAUUUCAAAGUGUCAUUCUGUUCUUUUGCUCUGUAGGUUUCCAUCGUCAGUAAGAUGUAUGAGCUAGCUAGCAACCAUGUUGCUCUUUAGUUUGCAAUUCAUGUUUGGGUGGUUUUGUUGCAGCCAGCUGGUGUAAGCGAGUUCAAGUCCAGUUGAGCUGAAGCUUAAUGAACCAAUCAACAAUGAUGGUGUUUAACAUGAAUUAUGAAUGAAGACAUCUUGAAAUGGAAUUGGUGACAAUGUGAUUGUCAAUCUGCUGCAUGUAGUUUUUACUAUCAAUAUAUAGAGAAGUAAAACUGGAAGCAAAGUUGCAAGAAAAAGAAAUGGUCUCGGCGAAGAUGUGCAGUCGUCUUGCAGUCUGACUCCUGUUCAAGCUGUUCCUGUCCUGAAUUGUGCUUGAAUCUUUUAAGUAGCUGAUCCUGAAGUUGUGAUGCAGGAGUUAUGUUGAAGAAGCUGAUGUUGGUGUCAUCUAGUUACAGUGUGCAAUUCGGAUUAUUCGUCAUUCGGUUUAUUCAUGUAAAAUGUGACUGUAGUAAUCUUUAUCUAUUUUGUUUUCCAAUAUGGCUUGCUGCAACUUUAUGUUAGGUUAGACAAAAGAUUUCUUCUCACCCUUUAUUUUAAAAAUAAUUCUUGGCAUGUUGAAAUUAACUUGCAAUAUUUCAUUGUGCUUUGAAAAUUUAUAUCUAAUACUUUUUCACAAUUAUGGUGAAAAAAAACAACAAAAAUGAUUAUAUAUUUACUAUUUAAAUCGAAUAAAAAAAGAAAUUUAAAUAUUUAAAUACAAAACAAAUAUAAA
rnacentral:lncRNA from 1 species